AGUGAACGCUGGCGGUAGGCCUAACACAUGCAAGUCGAACGGCAGCACAGUAAGAGCUUGCUCUUACGGGUGGCGAGUGGCGGACGGGUGAGGAAUACAUCGGAAUCUACUUUUUCGUGGGGGAUAACGUAGGGAAACUUACGCUAAUACCGCAUACGACCUACGGGUGAAAGCAGGGGAUCUUCGGACCUUGCGCGAUUGAAUGAGCCGAUGUCGGAUUAGCUAGUUGGCGGGGUAAAGGCCCACCAAGGCGACGAUCCGUAGCUGGUCUGAGAGGAUGAUCAGCCACACUGGAACUGAGACACGGUCCAGACUCCUACGGGAGGCAGAAGUGGGGAAUAUUGGCCAAUGGGCGCAAGCCUGAUCCAGCCAUACCGCGUGGGUGAAGAAGGCCUUCGGGUUGUAAAGCCCUUUUGUUGGGAAAGAAAAGCAGCAGGUUAAUACCCCGCUGUUCUGACGGUACCCAAAGAAUAAGCACCGGCUAACUUCGUG
rnacentral:rRNA from 1 species